rnacentral:rRNA from 1 species
GACGAACGCUGGCGGCGUGCUUAACACAUGCAAGUCGAACGGAAAGGCCUCUUUCGGGGGGUACUCGAGUGGCGAACGGGUGAGUAACACGUGAGUAACCUGCCCUUGACUUUGGGAUAACUUCAGGAAACUGGGGCUAAUACCGGAUAGGAGCUCCUGCUGCAUGGUGGGGGUUGGAAAGUUUCGGCGGUUGGGGAUGGACUCGCGGCUUAUCAGCUUGUUGGUGGGGUAGUGGCUUACCAAGGCUUUGACGGGUAGCCGGCCUGAGAGGGUGACCGGCCACAUUGGGACUGAGAUACGGCCCAGACUCCUACGGGAGGCAGCAGUGGGGAAUAUUGCACAAUGGGUGGAAGCCUGAUGCAGCAACGCCGUGUGCGGGAUGACGGCCUUCGGGUUGUAAACCGCUUUCGCUCAUGACGAAGCUUUGUGUGACGGUAGUGGGUAAAGAAGCACCGGCUAACUACAUG